rnacentral:rRNA from 1 species
GUACACUCCUGCGGGAGGCAGCAGUGGGGAAUUUUGGACAAUGGGCGAAAGCCUGAUCCAGCAAUGCCGCGUGAGUGAAGAAGGCCUUCGGGUUGUAAAGCUCUUUUGUCAGGGAAGAACGGUGAGAGCUAAUAUCUCUUGCUAAUGACGGUACCUGAAGAAUAAGCACCGGCUAACUACGUGCCAGCAGCCGCGGUAAUACGUAGGGUGCAAGCGUUAAUCGGAAUUACUGGGCGUAAAGCGUGCGCAGGCGGUUUUGUAAGUCUGAUGUGAAAUCCCCGGGCUCAACCUGGGAAUUGCAUUGGAGACUGCAAGGCUAGAAUCUGGCAGAGGGGGGUAGAAUUCCACGUGUAGCAGUGAAAUGCGUAGAUAUGUGGAGGAACACCGAUGGCGAAGGCAGCCCCCUGGGUCAAGAUUGACGCUCAUGCACGAAAGCGUGGGGAGCAAACAGGAUUAGAAACCCGGGUAGUCCCA